CAGGCUAGGGGUCAGAUCGGAGCUGUAACCUCCGGCCUAUGCCAGAGCUACAGCAAUGUGAGAUCCGAGCCAUGUCUGCAACCUACACCAUAGCUCACGGCAACGCCGGAUGGUUAACCCACUGAGCAAGGACAGGGACCGAACCCGCAACCUCAUGGUUCCUAGUCGGAUUCGUUAACCACUGCGCCACAACGGGAACUCCAAGCCCCCUCUCUUAUGGGGAGUAGAGAGCAAAUAAACACCAAAGAGGAAAGACAAUGGCAUAUUUUUUAUUCAGUGCCAUUAAAAUUAUAAUAAAGAUUUGUUGGUAGAUGCUUUUGGCACUCUUAGCAUGAUAAUUGCUGUCCAUUAGGGAGGGACAGGGCACUGUUCCAGUUAAGGCUAAACUUCCCAUUGAUUGUUAGAUGUUUACAGAGUACCGGAUGUGUCCAGCAUUUCAGGGCCAAGCAUCAUGAGUAAUCCCAGCAUGUAGGAUUAGUAACCUUGUUGAAACCUUACUUAUUCCAUAAUUAUCAUUUCUAUACUCCCUCUUUACUUCAGUCAGCAAUGCUGACAGUUGGAAGAAAUUUAAUUACUAAUAUGAGAUGUUGAAAGAUAGAAGCGGGAUAAGAUGAUAUUUUAGUUGUUUGGCACUUUUUAUCAUCAUCAUGUAAAAUGGACCAUCUUGUUAGUCCACUCUAACACUCAGAGUAGCAGGAAAAUGAUAGUAUGUGUUUAAGUGACUGUAAUUUUCAUAUAAGAGCUUAAAAUCAUGAUCAUAGUAGGAAGAGAAUAUACAGUAAUUCUAGAACAUUUCAUUUGAAAAAAAGAAAUUAAAAUAUACCUGCAUUCCCACCUCCUGGGAUUAAACAUUGUGUUUUCUCUUGUCCCCUUCCUAUGUGUAUGUGACAAGUGACUCCAUGCCUUCCAAAUGCUGUUCCCCCGUGUCCUGUCCAAGUCCCCUUUCCUGGCUGUAGCAUCUUUUACCAUCACCCCAAUCCCGCUCCCUAACCUGCCAGUAAUGCUCACUUAUUGAAAGUGCUCAUUCAGGGGAGAUUUGCUUUUGUUCCCCUGGGAUGUUGGUUUCAUUCUUGACUGGUACCCCUUUUUGCUGCCUCCCUAAGCCGUGGAUCUGGAACCUUGCAACCUGUCACUGGAAGCACCCUUAGUUUUCCUCUGCUUCUCACCUGUCCCGACACAGAUCUGAGCAGCAGGGGAGAGAGAAGUCACUCUGUUACCUGCUCCCCAUCACAACCAAGCUGAUGUCCACCAUACUGGGCCACCUGGGACUCUGAGGGUGACAUUGUAGCCCCCACUGUGUUGGUGGUGGUUGUUUUCCUCUCUCACAAAGAAGGGAUGGGGCUCUCUGGUCAACCUCUGAACACUGGUCCCUCAGGACCUUGAAUUUACUGCACUUACUGGAAACUCCCAGGGCCCUCUGGCACUUCGGUCACUUCUGUCCCCACUGCUGGAUGCUCUCCUGUGUGAAACCUCUGCCUCCCUCCCUUUCCCUUUCUCUCACAGCCUCCUGGGGCUUGACCUCCACAGUCAGUGCUCUUACAAGAUUUGGGGGGAAUCAGCAAGACUCCCCCCCUCAGGCCCCUUCCUUCACGCCCACCCUUGCACCUGUGGGGACACAGUAGAUGUAUGUAAACAAACACAUACAGGCCACACAGCUGGAUGCUAGGUAUUCAGUUUGAUCCUGGAGACAUUUAAAGUAGCAGCACACACUGUGAAUUAUGUAAGUUUGAGCCUGAAGACCAACAGGAACCUACUGCAAACUCCAGUGGUAGGAAUCAUUCAUAUGCAGUAUAUACAUGAUCGUUGAUGUCGGACUGUGUUCAUCAAACCAAGCUGCUAGAACACAAUACCAUGGAGUGAGUGCUUUAUAAACAACAAAUGUGCUCCUCCCAGUUCUGGAGGCUGGACUUCUGAGAUCGGCGUGGCUGGGUUCUGGUGAGAGUCUGGUCACAGACAGCAGACUUGUAUCCUUGUGUGGCAGAAAGAAGGAAUGGGUUUGUCUGGGGUUUCUUUUUUAAGGGCACUAAUCCUUUUUCAUGGGGGCUACACCCUCCUGACCUAAUUACCUCCUCAUACCACCCUUGUACCAUCACAUUGGGGUCUAGGAUUUUAGUGUAUGAAUUUGGGAGGGAUAAACAUUCAUUUCAUUGCACUGACACAUGGGUGAGUGACACACUGGGAUGGUUUAGUCACAUCCAAAUCUACAGAUUUGCCAUCUAAAUUCAGUCCCCAAGCAAACAUUCCCUCUCCUAUGGACUCCCCUGUGCUUGUCACAGCUGGUGCUGGAUAAAAUACCCAUGAGCUGGGUGACACAUCCUAAAACUGUUCUUUGCUUCAAGGAGAGUGGGUUUGUCUCAAACCACUUUCAGUGUAUGUAGAGCUUGAUUCCCUUGUUUCACACAUUCCUGUUCACCUGGUUACAUGGAGUGGGGUUAUGAUGCACAGGGUGGCCAACUGACAUCCCAGACAACUUGGGGAAAGAAAAGAAGAGAAACAGUCCCUGAAACACAGCAGGAUUAUUGAUUAGAGCUCUUUUCAGAACUCACUGGGCCAGGCUCACUGAGUGUAUUAUGAAGCCAUGCAUUAAAGUUGUUAUCCAGUCAUUGUGAUAACUUAUAAUAUUAACUAACUCUAUUGUGAUAACAUGCAGUCAUUUUACUGUUAUACAUAUUGCUUUUAAAGCCAUUUGUUGUGCCUUUAUGAAGUACCUAGUGGUGCCCUGGAAUGGAGACAUCGCAUAGUUCAAAUGCACUGAGUCUUUGUUAUUCUUUGUUUUGCUUUGUCUCUUCCUCUCAAGAUGAAAUUACAGAUACUCUUGUGGAGAGAGACUCGGACACAGAAGGGUUGGGGGUAGGGGUUUGCUCAUGCUUCUGGAGUCCUCUGGGACACUUUGGCUGUCAGUGCAGAUGGUUUAAGGAAGUGGAAUUGUGAUAAUGUUCCUUUUCUUUGCUCUUCUUUGUCCAAUUUUGAUGUUGCUGAAAUCUGGCAACUCAUGGUUGAUUUUGCUGAUUCACAUCCCUGAUCAUUUGACAGAGCAUGUAGUUCAAUUCAACCUUAAAUACAAAGGGAACUGAAUUGCCAUUCAAAUAAAGAAGCUUUUCCAUUUUUAGGUAGAAGGAGAUGAUAUGUUUUGUGAAGGCACACAGACCUGAAAUCAACCUGAUGAAUUUUUCAUAUGGCUUUUCAUUUUCUUUCAAUUUAUCCACUAGUUCUCUUUCAACAUCUAACAUUUUCAGCAGCCCAGGCACAGUGAUUCAUGGAUGAGGUACAAGCAUUUUCUAGGUCUAGUUCAGGUGACACACAAGCUGUGGGGACUGUCUUCCCCACACAUACAUUAGGUGGCAAGAGCAAAAUGCACACCGCUUUCAUUUUUACCUUGUUUGAUGAACUUGCCUGCAUGAUUGAGUUGUGGUGGUGGUCCUAUAAGUGUUUGUUAACAAGUUGUGGUGAAAAUUCACUGGUUAUGAAGCCGGAGCUUCCAGGCUGCUUAUGCCACUAACUCAUGUCCUUUUGAAACUUCUUCGGGCUCCUGUUCUGCACCACUGUGAACAGGGGAUAGAGCAUGGCUGAGUCCAGUUCAGUUAAAAAAGCUCCUCUCUCUAGGUAAAUUUUAGUGUUGAACUUGUUUUCUAAUUCUGAUAUUUAUUUCAAUCCCACAGUGUUCUAUUGAUGUCAGCCUCUAAUUAUUCUAGGCAACCACGUAAUGAGUGUUGACUCAUUAAAUGUCACAACCACUCUGAGAAGUGGAUGCUGUUUUAUAGGUGGAAAACUGAGGCCCAGGUAAGAUACCUUGUCCAAGGUCAAAGCACCACAGAUAGGACAGGUCAGAUUUGAAUAAUGCUGGCAGGAGUCUGGAUUCUUUGUUCUGAGUCACUGAACCGUGCUCCUGUUUUUUGUUUUUGUUUUUCCCCCUCUGCACCUGAGGCAUAUAGAAGUUCCUAGCCAGAGGUAGAAUCAGAGAUGUAGCUGAGGGCAUAGCCACAGCAAUGCCAGAUCUGAGAUGCAUCUUUGACCUACACCACAGCUCAUGGCAACACUGGAUCCUUAACCCACUGAGUGAGGCCAGGGAUCAAACCUGCAUCCUCACAGACACUAUUUCAGUUCUUAACCCUCUGAGCCACAACAGGAACUCCCAUUCCUUUUCUUAGAGAAAAAGAGAAAUGCAAGCAUUUCUUGAAAUUGUAGGACUUCAAGAGUUCAGAACUGAUUCAAGUCUAUAUAUCGUGUACCAAUUAAACUUUAAUAUUUUUAAAAGCUAUGUUCGUUUAAUUGAUCCUACUUUAAUGUCUGGCAAUAUGAUUACAUUUUUUUCUUUAUAUGCCAGCUUAGUUUUCAUGAUUUAUCAGGAUAUUUUUCUUCAAUGUUGAAAGGAUUAAUGAGGAUACAAAAAAUUACUUUUAGACACUUACUUAUCUCAUUACAAUGCAUCCCAUUAUAAAUAAGGUCAAAGAUAUCAGUAGAAGGAUCUUUGUGUGGGGGAUGUAGCAGUUGGCUCAGAUAAAUGUGCACUUACCACUGGGUAGAUGGACUUGGCUAUUUUUCACAAACUGUUCAAUGAGCACAAUGUCAUGUAAGAUACCAACAUACGUGAAGGAAGGUCAGUAGCAAUCAUAAUGUUAAUGCAGCUUUAACAUAAAUGUAUAAAGUCAGUGACUCAGUAGAAGUAUUACGAUUUUCUUUAUCACAGAAACACACUUUUCUAGACCUAAUUAUUUACUCUUUAACAAAUUACUUAGCUAAAUUUGGAAGCUUUAGGGAAUUUAUUAUUAUUAUUAUUUAAAAUUUCAUAUUAUUUGUUUUCAUUUUUUAAAGUUUUACUAACAUAUAGAUGAUUUACAAUGUUGUGCUAGUUUCUGCUAUCAACGAAGUGAUUCAGAUAUAUGUGUACACACAUCCAUUCUCUUUCAGAUUCUUUUCUUACCUACAUUAUUAUUAUUAUUUAAACAAACAUAGUUGGCACAAGGCCUCACCUUGAGUUACUUUAAGGUGACUUCUUGGGGUAAAGACAUGCUCAGAGGUGCUGCGCAGGUGGGCAGGGGAGGAUUCACAUCCCUGUGGGGACCAGGGUAUAAGCACAGGUGUGUGAGCCUCUGUCCCUGAUCUCAGAGAGGUGACUUUCAGAUCUGGGUUGCAAGGGAUUGUUUUAGAUAACUGAAAUAUUACUUCCAUGAAUUUCCUUUAUUAGGUAAUUAACACUACCAGUUAUAAGAAAUAAAACUUGGCAAGCUAGGGCCUGUAGCCAACAAAGGUUAUUUCUGUUCACGUCACUGCCACUGUGGGUUCAGCAGGCAGCCCACCUAAACCAGGCAGGCAGCAACACAACAUGCGUGUGUUACUCAGUGUCAUUUAUCAAACACAUCAUCAAAUACACAGAGACUGUAGCUUCCAUUAGAUCUCGUAGCAAGUGCAUGGACAUUUCUAGUGUUCUUAAUCUCCCGCCCUUCCCCAAAAUAUAUAUCUUGGAGCCCCUUCAUCUUCCUUUCUAAUGGAAGCAUGGGUUUUUUCCUUUUUAAACAUUAUUUAAAAGCCAUUGAUAGGAGUUCCCUGUGGCUCAGUGGAUUAAGGACCUAGCAUUGUCACAGCUGUGGCUCAAGAUUCAAUCCCUGGCCUAGGAAUUUCCAAUGCUGUGGAUUGGCCAGAAAGAAAAAAAAAAAAGUUGAUUCAUUAUAGUUUAAUCACUUUCUCUCUUGUUGAUAAAUAGCCAAAAGAUGAAAAAACAACUGUUGAGGUUUUCUUUCCUCUGUCCAAAGAAUGACAAGGAUCUUCGCUAUAGAAUCUUAAAUGUACAGUGAAUUAUAGAGUAAAUCGAUUCAGUGUUUCUCCCCAAUUCCACUUGAUUUAUUAAAAACAGUCUCAAAUAAACUAUGUGCAAAUCAACUGUCAUAACAUUAACAAUAAUUAAUGUCAAGACCCUUGUCCAAAAUAAAGUCCCCCAUACCUUAUUUCAAAACUUGCAUUUACAAAAAUAAAUCUAAAAUAAGAUGCUAAUGGCUUACAUAUCAUUGGCUCUUAUACAGAUUGAAUUAAGGCAACUCAAUUUUUUAUUCCCCUCAGAGUGCUAAGAGCCUAGAUUGGACCUUGAGGGAAUUCUAGGGUACGGGUGGCCUCUAAAAAUUUGGCUGCCUUUUUUUCUGGGUCAUCAGAGUCAAAUUUCACAUAAAUUAAAGAGUCCCUUACUGCCAAAAUCAUCCUUAAAAGAAUUAUGUGCAAUUUAAAUAUUUUAGGAUUAAUGUGAUAGUGUCUUAUAACAAACAUUUUUAAUUAAAUGUGCAUACUGCCAGCAAUCUCAUUUCAGUUUGCUUUAAAUCACCUUUGUGACUAGGAAGGAGUUUUCACGUUUUAUGUUUUUUUCUUUUUUUAAUCUUUGACUUUAGAGGAGGUAAAAUGGAAGGAAAGAAAGCUACAUGCAAUGCCAUAGACCACUUGUAACACAAACUGUUCAGUGUCGAAUUAGCAAGAAGCCAGUAACAUGGUCACCGUGUGGCCACACACUUGAGAGUAAGCAUGUAAAACUGAUAGUAAAUAUGUGAAAGUGCCUGUGAAGCAAUGUCAGCAGAAUGUCUGAGACUAUUUG
rnacentral:lncRNA from 1 species